GUGGGGAAUCUUCCGCAAUGGACGAAAGUCUGACGGAGCAACGCCGCGUGAGUGAUGAAGGUCUUCGGAUUGUAAAGCUCUGUUAAUCGGGACGAAAGAGCCUAGUGUGAAUAAUGCUAGGAAGUGACGGUACCGGAAUAGAAAGCCACGGCUAACUACGUGCCAGCAGCCGCGGUAAUACGUAGGUGGCAAGCGUUGUCCGGACUUAUUGGGCGUAAAGCGCGCGCAGGCGGAUCUGCCAGUCUGUCUUAAAAGUUCGGGGCUUAACCCCGUGAUGGGAUGGAAACUACAGAUCUAGAGUAUCGGAGAGGAAAGUGGAAUUCCUAGUGUAGCGGUGAAAUGCGUAGAUAUUAGGAAGAACACCAGUGGCGAAGGCGACUUUCUGGACGAAAACUGACGCUGAGGCGCGAAAGCCAGGGGAGCGAACGGGAUUAGAAACCCCAGUAGUCC
rnacentral:rRNA from 1 species